CAUGCACCGGUGGGGUCCCUCGGCCUGGCCUGCACACUCUCACAAUCCAGGACCCCUCGGGGGAUGUCAGAAAGCUGGUUUCGGCCCAAUCCCUGCAGGCCAGGCCGAGGGAUCCCACCAGUGCACA
rnacentral:pre_miRNA from 1 species